ACUUGGUCCAAUUAUCCUUGGAAGAAAGCAUAGCAAUUUAGGCCUCUUUACAGUCAAUCUCAGUGAAAAUGUGAUGCAGAAAAUCUUGAAGCAGCAAAUGUAAGGUUUCUCGGAGAGCAACUGCUUUGGCUAAACAAGGAGGAAGACGACCAACUAGAAAGCCUGUUGAUGAAAAAACGCUCUCAUUGAGCAGCUCUUAGCAUCAUCCUUUCAUCAUUAUGAUCCUUAGAUCCACUUGA
rnacentral:misc_RNA from 1 species